AUUUAGGGGGUGUUUGGAUUGACGAAUAUGCUGAUCCAACGUAACUCAAGUAUAAUUGUGUUUGAGUUUUUUAAAGUGUGAUUAUUUUUUUGUUGUUUAUUUUGACGUAUUUCGUACAGUCUGAAAGUUAAAUUAAAUUACUUCUUCUAUUUAUUUUGAAGUAACUUGAUGCUGAUAAAAUUAGUUUUUUUAGUUACAUUGUUUGUUUUGAUAUAAGUGAUUCUCGUUAUCUUAUGAAUAUAAUGGUAAACUUACCGUUAUAAAAUUUAACCUAUUAUAUAAUUAAUUUUUUUAUUAUUAUUUAAAAAUAAUCUUAAUUUAUUAUAAAUAAGGUAAUUCUAAUUUAUUAUAAAGGAGUAGAGUUUAGAUUUUACUAUUUAAUAAAUUUUUUAGAACAUGCUGAGUAUGACGGAAGCUGAGUUCAGUAUUUUAGAGAAAAAAAUUGAGAGUAGGUAAAGUAGAGAUCUAACAUAACUUGAGUUACAUUAUAUUUUUGAGUUAUACGAAAAUAAAUAACGAAAGUGAUGGGACUUUAGUUCUAUCCCUUCACUUAUAUCAAAACAAACAGACCCUUAACUAUGGUGAGUGAAGAG
rnacentral:lncRNA from 1 species